ensembl:lincRNA
AAAACAAACAAAAAAAUCAAUCCCACCCAGUGCAGUAAUCCCCAUAUCUGAAAGUCAAGUUAAAAGGAUUAUUUGAGCACUUAACUUUGAAACAAAUCUGGGCACCAUAGUAAAUUGAAGUCUUGUAAUGAGGUGCAAACCAUUAAAAUGUCAAAUUAGUUUCAUAGGAACUGAUCAGGAGACAGAAUCUGCCCAUUGCAAGCAGAGUUUCACAAGAACCCUGUCUGAUGAUGGCUCCCCAGAGUUCCUACUCUCAGAAGAACAAGACGGUCUUGUUGAUGAUCUCCAUUGACUCCUGGAUCUCAUCUUCCUUGAUCACAAGUGGAGAGGCAAACCUGAUGAUAUUGCAGUGAGUUGGCUUGGCCAGAAGCCCAUUAUCUCAGAGUUGCAGGCACAUCCAUCCAAGUAUCACAAUCUUUGUUUUCUCUGAUGACAAUGGCAUUUAGCAACCCUUUCUCUCUCACAGCAGUCACAAAGCCAGAGGGCAGCUUCAUGAGCUCCUUUCUCAAGAUAGCACCUAUCUUGUCUGCAUUUUCAGAAAGAUUAUCUUCUUCUAAAACCUCAAGAACCACAAUGGCAAUUCGGCUGCCUAGUGGGUUGCUGCCGUAUGUAGAGCCAUGCUCGCCUGUCUUAUUGGUCAGCGUUAUGU